rnacentral:pre_miRNA from 1 species
UAGGCCAGGUUGGCGACGAGUAUUCUUGGGAAAUUAACACACAUUGGGGAUGUUAUUGCUUGAGAAUACACGUAGUUUGCCUGGUCGGUCAC